GACGAACGCUGGCGGCGUGCUUAACACAUGCAAGUCGAACGGAAAGGCCCUGCUUUUGUGGGGUGCUCGAGUGGCGAACGGGUGAGUAACACGUGAGUAACCUGCCCUUGACUUUGGGAUAACUUCAGGAAACUGGGGCUAAUACCGGAUAGGAGCUCCUGCUGCAUGGUGGGGGUUGGAAAGUUUCGGCGGUUGGGGAUGGACUCGCGGCUUAUCAGCUUGUUGGUGGGGUAGUGGCUUACCAAGGCUUUGACGGGUAGCCGGCCUGAGAGGGUGACCGGCCACAUUGGGACUGAGAUACGGCACAGACUCCUACGGGAGGCAGCAGUGGAGAAUAUUGCACAAUGGGCCGAAGCCUGAUGCAGCAACGCCGCGUGCGGGAUGACGGCCUUCGGGUUGUAAACCGCUUUCGCCUGUGACGAAGCGUGAGUGACGGUAAUGGGUAAAGAAGCACCGGCUAACUACGUG
rnacentral:rRNA from 1 species